rnacentral:rRNA from 1 species
AGCAGCCGCGGUAAUUCCAGCUCCAAUAGCGUAUAUUAAAGUUGUUGCAGUUAAAAAGCUCGUAGUUGAAUUUCGGGAUCAAUACGUCGGUCGUGCUUCGGUACGUACUGGCAUUAUUGGUUUCUACCUUCUGAAGAACCUCGAUGUCAUUAAUUUGGUGUCUUGGGGAAUCAGGACUGUUACUUUGAAAAAUUAGAGUGUUUAAAGCAGGCUCGCGCUUGAAUACAUUAGCAUGGAAUAAUGAAAUAGGACGUUUGAUUCUAUUUUGUUGGUUUCUAGGAUCGACGUAAUGAUUAAUAGGGAUAGUUGGGGGCAUUAGUAUUCAAUUGUCAGAGGUGAAAUUCUUGGAUUUAUUGAAGACUAACUACUGCGAAAGCAUUUGCCAAGGAUGUUUUCAUUAAUCAAGAACGAAAGUUAGGGGAUUCGAAGACGAUCAGAUACCGUCGUAGUCUUAACCAUAAACUAUGCCGACUAGGGAUCGGAUGAUGUUAAUUUUUAAUGACUCAUUCGGCGCCUUACG